rnacentral:rRNA from 1 species
UGGGGAAUAUUGCACAAUGGGCGCAAGCCUGAUGCAGCCAUGCCGCGUGUAUGAAGAAGGCCUUCGGGUUGUAAAGUACUUUCAGUCGGGAGGAAGGUGGUAAGGUUAAUAACCUUAUCAAUUGACGUUACCGACAGAAGAAGCACCGGCUAACUCCGUGCCAGCAGCCGCGGUAAUACGGAGGGUGCAAGCGUUAAUCGGAAUUACUGGGCGUAAAGCGCACGCAGGCGGUUGAUUGAGUCAGAUGUGAAAUCCCCGGGCUUAACCCGGGAAUUGCAUCUGAUACUGGUCAGCUAGAGUCUUGUAGAGGGGGGUAGAAUUCCAUGUGUAGCGAUGAAACGCGUGGAGAUGUGGAGGAAUACCGGUGGCGAAGGCGGCCCCCUGGACAAAGACUGACGCUCAGGUGCGAAAGCGUGGGGAGCAAACAGG